UCUAGUUCUAACAGACUUGUGUAAGCCAAGUGCUUCCAUAGGAGAGAAAACUCAGUAUCUGGAAACUCCACACAUUUCAAUUUGCUCCAUGUAGUGGAAAGGGAAGGUAAUCUCUUUCCCAUCUACAUACUUUGAUGAGCUAUUUCAGUGCACGAGUUCCUAAAUCUGUGGCUAUAACUUUAAAAUAGGCAAACUCAGCAAUCCUGAGGCAGUUGCAAUCAGCAAACUAUAUCAGCAAGCCCUCCCCAGGGCACAAAGGCAAAGCAGGACAAACCGAAACAGUGGAUGCCUGACGAGUUUUUAAAGGAAGAGGCCAAGUGGCAGUUUAAAAGUGGAAAGGUGAAUGGGACUUAAAGUGCUCUAUAAUAUUUACUGCGUGACCCCAGCACAAAGACAACAGCAGUGCCUACAAAGGUAGGUGUACCAAAGCAUGCAGCAGAACAAUCCUGCUGCAAGGCCUUUUAAAUCAGUCUGUAGCCUUAAUCUUAUUCCUGUUCAGCUUCACCUGCUCUCACAGGCCAGCUGCAUGAGCACCUUUCUACCAAGAGGACUUGGGAUAACGAGACCUGAUGGUGGUACUGACAGGGUCUCUGCGUACCUGUCUGACCUUGCGAGGGGGCACCACUUCCAUUUCAGCUGUUCCUCUGUUGACUCUGUAAGGUCUCUAACCAGCUCAACAGCUGCAAUUAACCUCUCCAGCAGCUACUCAGAGGCCCAGUGAGCUCCAGAGUUAUGAUCAAGCAAACCUGCAGCAGGGAACAGAUCCAGCUCAAGACCCACCGGUCUUCUGGGCAGAAGCAAGCUCAACCACCUCCAGUUUCUAGGACUGUGCAAGUAUGUGGUGUGAAGUUAGGUAAGGCUAUGAGGAAAUGCAAGAAGUAGAACAUGAAUUUCAUAUUAAAGACAUAGUCAGCAUUAUGUUCAAAAAUUACCGUAUCCUAAUUUCAUUUAUUCAUACCUCUUCCAGUAGAACCAUUGGUGUUUGAAAUUUAAAGAGUAUUAGCUCUUUAAAAACAGUUAUGUUGGAGACAAAGCUAUAUUCCUGCACUGGUGCCUUGCAUCCAGCUCACAAGCUCAUUCGGUCAGUAUGCCCAUCUCUGGUAUGCUUCAGGUAUGUGUGAGAACUGCAGGUAAUGGCACCUCCCUUUGCUUACCACUGUCUGGAACAAUACAUAUAAUUAAAUGUAUAAUUUGUGUGAAUAUGAAGCUUUAUUGAAACUUUCCCUUGGUUUUCCAUUUUCUUCGUCUGUGCUCAACUUUAAUUUUUUAUUUUAUUUAUUUUUUCACUCACCAGAUUGAUAAAUUCAAUUAUUUAUUUUCUCUUUUCCCUUUCCCUGUAGGUAACUUGAAUGGUCAUUCUAUUUUUCUCUGUUAAUGAAGAUUAGAUUAACACUUUUCUUGUUCUGGGUUGCUUUGUGAUUUGCCUUGUCUAGCAAUUAUAACUUUUCUACUUUGAUGUGAGUAGUAUUAUAAACAGUACUCUAGAUAAUGGCCAACUCUACCAUAUGGUGCAAUAAAAAUGCCUGGAUCUCCUUUUGAUUUAUACUG
ensembl:lncRNA